rnacentral:lncRNA from 10 species
CAGAAUGAGACUCCAUCUCAAAAAAAAGAAAAAAAGGUUGCCCCUCACCUAGGCACCCCGAGAGCAGUGAAAAGCUGCCUGUUGUGCCUCCCACAGCCGAGGCUCUGUCUUGAACCUGGAAGUGAGCCAGCUGGGCCCAGCCUUGCAGGAGGCCAGGCUUCCUGUCACAUUGAAGCUCUGCUGAUAGCCCAAGGCCACGUGCGGCGAUGGCACCUGCUGGGUGGGGAUGGGUGGCCUGGUGUCAGUCCUGCACUGUCAUUGUCCUUACCAUCUCUGCUUUCACCUGCACCAGUGGACAAACUCAGGCACACGAGGGGCUGCUGCCAUCUGUCCCUCUGCCUGGCCUCAGGCAGGAUCAUUAGGACUGGAUCAGGAGGGAGCAUCAGGCCUGGCUUCAGGGUGCCUGGCAGCAUGCUCAGAUAUAGCACAGCACACAGGCAGGACCAGAGACCUACAGAAUAGAUGACCUUUAAGCAAGACUUGAAUAUACAAUAAACCAUCAGAAAUCUGCAUCUUACUCCUUGCGGGGAAUUAGGUUGUUGUAUACUGUCUUGACUUUUUCUUAUGUUUACAGACAUAACUAUGUCUUUAUUUACAUACAUGCAUGCCCACCCAUCUUUUUAGAAAAUGUUUUCAUGUUUUGCUAAUCAAUCAUUCAUUCUUUCCUCCUUUCCAUAUUUAUUUAUUUAUUUAAUUAUUAUUAUUAUUAUUUUUUGAGAUGGAGUCUCACUCUGUUGCCUGGGCUGGAGUGCAAUGAUGUGAUCUCGGCUCACUGCAACCUCCGCCUCCUGAGUUCAAGAGAUUCUCCUGCCUCAGCCUCCUGAGUAGCUGGGAUUACAGGCAUGCGCCACCACACCUGGCUAAUUUUUGUAUUUUUAGUAGAGACGGGGUUUCAUCAUGUUGGCCAGAAUGCUCUCAAUCUCCUGACCUUGUGAUCCACCCUCUUUGGCCUCCCAAAGUGCUGGGAUUACAGGUGUGAGCCACCGUGCCUGGCCUUUAUUAUUAUUAUUUUUUGAGAUGGAGUUUUGCUCGUCAUCCAGGCUGGAGUGCAAUGGCAUGAUCUCGGCUCACUGCAACCUCCGCCUCCCGGAUUCAAGCUAUUCUCCUGCCUCAGUCUCCCAAGUAGCUGGGAUUACAGGCACGUGUCACCACAACCGGCUAAUUUUUGUAUUUUUAGUAGAGACAGGGUUUCACCACGUUGGCCAGGCUAGUCUCCAACUCCUGACCUCAGGUGAUCUGCCUGCCUCGACCUCCCAAAGUGCUGGGAUUACAGGCAUAAGCCACUGCGCCCGGCCCCUUUCCAUAUAUAUUUAUUGAUCUCUUAGUGUAUGCCAGGCACCUUGGUAAGUGCUGGGUAUGUGGAGAUGAGGAAAACAGACAUGAUCUCUCCCUCAUCGACCUUUCAGCCCGGUGGAGAAAGCAACUUCGAAUUCUGAACUGCAGUAAGAGCUAAAGAGAGAAAACAGGAAGCUCUGAGAGUUAAUAACAGGAUCUCUACUCAAGUAACAUUUAUGUGGGGAUCAAUAUGAGAAAGAGCCAAUCAUUUGAAGAGUGUAGGGAAAAGCAUUCCGGGCAGAAGGAACAGCAUGAGUGAGGGCACAGAAGUCUGAACAUUGUGUGGGGUGUGUGGGGAAGUCUGAGGCUCUUCCUAAUUACAGUGUAGGGGUGUAGUUGGGGGUUAAGCCAUACAGGCAGGGUAGAAUCAACGUGAGAAAACCCCAAAUGCCAAGCCAAGAAAUUCUGUAAGCAACGGGGGGCUACUCAUGUCACUUAGUUUAGUAACAGCGGUUCUAAAGCUCCAGCCUGGAAAAGCCCAGAAUAUUAAUGUUCAAGAGGAAAUCUCUGCUUCAAAUCAAAGGCUCUUUCUCCUGCUUGCUGGAAAUUCAAAGCCUGCCCCGUGCCUCUGAGCCUUAGAGCCAGACAGGUUGCCUUAUUACUGAUUCCCUACAGAAACGCAGCCCAGAGAGGCCAAGAGAUUUGCCCAAGUGAAACAGCAAACCAAUGCCAAACGCAGAACCUCAAACCCCAAAUGCCAGCCUUCAGCUCCAGCCCUAAACCUGUCCCCUUUCACCUGGAGAUUCUUUCUGGCAGGCACUCAAAGCAGGUAGGUGAGAAAAUGCCUUUUUUUUUUUUUUUUUUUGAGACCAGUCUAGCUAUGUCACCCAGGCUGGAAUGCAGUGGCAAGAUCGUAGCUCACUGCAGCCUUGACCUCCUGGGCUAAAGGGGUCCUCCCGCCUCAGCCUACGGAGUAGCUGGGACUGAAGACUUGAAAAUUAAAUAAAUUGCAUUCUUGAAAAUGCAUGUUAACACGAAUUUGUGGAGCACUUACUUACUAGUGCCAACUACGGUACCUGGCCUGGGAAAUAGACCUGCCCCGGGAGGUAGACCUCCCCGAGGGCACUCCCAGUCCUGGAGCCCCCAAACUUCUUGAACUACAGAAAUUCCCCUAGGACUCCCCUCCCCUGCCCCCCACUCCCCAAGUUGCUGAAAAUCAUGAGUAACAAAGCGGCCAGGAGUUUCCUGUCUUGCUGAGCUGGCUUACUCAAUUUCCCUCGUUUGUCCGCUCAGACCAGACGGGGCAAAGGGCAGCCAUCAAAGGUGUCUGGGACGAGCCCGGCGGGGUAAUGGGCCGCUAGGGACUCAGUCUGGCCCGGGUCUCAGCCGGGGCAGAAGGCAGCCGGGCGAGGGCCGCGGGUGGGGGGCAGGGGGCCGGGGACAAGCAGCCCCGCCCAGGCCGGCGCGCUGUGUGCACAACGUGCAGGGCUGCGAAAG